rnacentral:tRNA from 1 species
AGGGAUGAGGCUCACUGGAAGAGCCUGUGUUUUGUGUGCAGAAGUCCCUGGGUUCAAUCCCCAGCAUCUCCA